rnacentral:rRNA from 1 species
CCUACGGGGGGCUGCAGUGGGGAAUAUUGGACAAUGGGCGAAAGCCUGAUCCAGCCAUGCCGCGUGUGUGAAGAAGGCCUUCGGGUUGUAAAGCACUUUCAGUGGGGAAGAAAGCCUUGGGGCUAAUACCCUCGAGGAAGGACAUCACCCACAGAAGAAGCACCGGCUAACUCCGUGCCAGCAGCCGCGGUAAUACGGAGGGUGCGAGCGUUAAUCGGAAUUACUGGGCGUAAAGCGCGCGUAGGCGGUCUGAUAAGCCGGUUGUGAAAGCCCCGGGCGCAACCUGGGAACGGCAUCCGGAACUGUCAGGCUAGAGUGCAGGAGAGGAAGGUAGAAUUCCCGGUGUAGCGGUGAAAUGCGUAGAGAUCGGGAGGAAUACCAGUGGCGAAGGCGGCCUUCUGGACUGACACUGACGCUGAGGUGCGAAAGCGUGGGUAGCAAACAGGAUUAGAUACCCGUGUAGUC